CUCCGCACCGCAUUUCUGGUGGAGAAUGUGGGCACCCCUAGCAUGGUAGCAUGAGAGGGACUCGAGGACAGCAAUUUGGCUGCUGUGCAGAAGAUCAGCCUGCCUUUGUGGAGCAGAGAAGCUGGUCGAAAUUAUCCUCACUGCCCUAGUGGGAAGAAAAGGUUACAGACUGGAGCUCCAAUUGCAGAUGACUUGAAUCUCUCCCUGAUCAAGCUGUAUCCAACGCCUUGAAAAAGCAGUACUUAAGGAGAUAAAGGCAUUCGCUGGAUUCCAGCCAAGUGGGUGAAGCCCUUGUCUGAAACCACCGUCAUCAACCCGUGUUGUGCCCAGAGGUGGAGAGUCGGUGACAACCCCGAAUCCAGACAGCCUUGAAUCCACUUCUUCAACACCUGACAGCUGAACAACACUCAGAAUCUUUACCAAUAUUGCUAGAAUUUGCUGCAGCAAUAGAGGCACCUCCACGAAGGUUUACUAUACACGAGUUGGACACAACCGG